CGGUUUCUCUUUCUCUCUCAUUUUCCGGUUUAAAGCUGUCUCUUUCUUCUUCUUCUUCUUCACAUAAAAUACCCACCCGGAGUAGUGAAGAAGAGAGUGCAGACAUCUGUAAAUACAGCAUCUCCUUCGAAGCUUAGCUUUCAUGGCCGCCGAGUCCACCUCAUCGUCAAAUCUCCGAAUCACUGUCCAGAAAAACGUAUCCGACGCCCAACUUUCUGAGCUCGGCAUCAAAUCUUGGCCCAAAUGGGGUUGUUCGCCGGGGAAGUAUCAGCUGAAAUUUGACGCGGAGGAGACGUGUUAUCUGUUGAGGGGAAAAGUUAAGGUUUACCCGAAGAACACGACAUCAUCGGAGACGGUGGAGUUCGGCGCCGGCGACCUGGUGGUUAUACCCAAAGGACUCAGUUGCACCUGGGACGUGUCCGUCGCCGUCGAUAAACACUACAUGUUUGACUCUUCUUCUUCUUCUUCUUCCUAGUAAUAAUAAUAUAUAAUCAUCGUUUCAUGAUGAUCAGAUCGUAUGUAGUGUUUUCUUUUCUUGGUUUUGGUAAAUUUCUGGAAAUUCACAUCUCACAGACUCAUCAUAAACUUGCAGUGUUUUUUGCGCUUUGGUUUUUCAAUAGGUAAUUAAGAGGCUAAUGUUAAUUUCAUCUUCCCAUUUUCACUUCCCCCAUUUCAUUUUA